rnacentral:rRNA from 1 species
UACGUAGGGUGCAAGCGUUAAUCGGAAUACUGGGCGUAAAGCGUGCGCAGGCGGUGAUGUAAGACAGGUGUGAAAUCCCCGGGCUUAACCGUAGGACUGCAUUUGUGACUGCAUCGCUGGAGUGCGGCAGAGGGGGAUGGAAUUCCGCGUGUAGCAGUGAAAUGCGUAGAUAUGCGGAGGAACACCGAUGGCGAAGGCAAUCCCCUGGGCCUGCACUGACGCUCAUGCACGAAAGCGUGGGGAGCAAACAGG